UACGUAGGGGGCAAGCGUUGUCCGGAUUUAUUGGGCGUAAAGAGCGUGUAGGCGGCCAGGUAGGUCCGUUGUGAAAACUGGAGGCUUAACCUCCAGCGGUCGAUGGAAACCAUCUGGCUAGAGUCCGGAAGAGGAGAGUGGAAUUCCUGGUGUAGCGGCGAAAUGCGCAGAUAUCAGGAAGAACACCCGUGGCGAAGGCGGCUCUCUGGGACGGUACUGACGCUGAGACGCGAAAGCGUGGGGAGCGAACAGG
rnacentral:rRNA from 1 species